rnacentral:lncRNA from 1 species
UAAUUCUAGGUUGGAGAUCGUGUCCUUUUGAAGGUCUCGCCCUGGAUAGUGUCACACCCCGAAAAUCAAAGGCGGAAACAUUUCCGGGGUUGACUCCACGUUGAGUAUCAAAUCCAUUGCACAUAGUAAUCAAAGUAAACAACCAUUACAUUACAUAUAUUUGAAAGUUUACAUUUGUUUCAAAAGUAAAGUAUUCCAAGUGUUAUACAUAGGUAUAUAUGAACAAAAGAUAAGACGAGAUCUUCUACGCACUCCGUCUUCACCAAAAGAGAUCACCAGGUACCUGUUUAACAUGGACCUGAGAAUACAAGCAGUUUGAACAUCAACAUAAAGCUGGUGAGUUCAUAAGAUGUUUGUAUUCUGAAAAUGUACCAAUUUCCUUUAGUUUUCCGAAAAGGUUUGUUAUCCAUGAAAUUCCCAUAUUUUCUUAUGUAAAACAGUUUAGUUAUCAUUCAUUACCAGUUCAUUUAUGCGAUAUAUGAUUCCCCAGGAAAAUCCCGUAUUUUCCUAAAUACAAGACCGAUUGAAUAUCACAGAGUAUAGUUUAAUACACAAAACUAUAUAUUGAGUAUCAUGGGAUUACUAUCCCGAAUUAGAUAUAAAAUACUUUGAUAUACAUGAACUGUAGAUGGAAAGUAGUUUGAAAACCAUAGGACUAUCAUCCCGUACUAGAUACAAGAUAGUUUGAUAUACAUGAAAAUAUAGAUUGAAUAUCAUGGGACUACCAUCCCGGACUAGUUAUAGAUUCAAAAACAUGGGAUUAUCAUCCCAUACUAGAUAUAGUUUCAAAACCAUGGGAUUACCAUCCCGUACAAGAUAUAGAUUGAAAUCAUGGGACUAUCAUCCCGUACUAGAUAUAAGAUAUAUACAUACUGAAAACCAUAGGAAUAACAUCCCGCACUAGAUACAAGUUUGAUAGACUAAAAACCAUGGGACUGCCAUCCCGUACUAGAUAUGGAAACUAUAGAUAGAAAGUAGAUAUGAAAUUGAAUCAAAGUCAAAACCAAACCCAAAGCGAUACCGUGAAUAAACUUAUAUUAAUACAUAUUGUGAGUCAGGUAACCAUGCUGAUACGACAACGAGACCUCCUUAACGUUUGUCAGACGUCGGACGAUAUCCAGAAUUUGUCACCCCAGGCGUGCCCGCCUAACUGUAGCUAGCAGUUAAGGUGUGCGAUUGUCAGUCCUGAAUAGAUCUAUUCACAAAUUCAUCGCUCUCCCUCCAGGAGACUCUGGUUACACUUCCGGGGAGGAUUUACUGAUCAUCCAAAAGGGUAGUAACGAACUCACAAGCUAGUAAUAAACUAUUCACAGGGUUCUCAUACGAUAUCAAACAUACAAAAGAUUUUGAAACAUAAUACAGUGAAUACAGAUACAUACAUUGAAACUAUCUUGCAAUACAUUCAAAUGAUACGAAGAUAAACUGAAUCAGACAUAGUUUAUCUAAUAACAUUAUAUACAUAUCAGUACGUGAUUAAACAAGAACUAGAGAACCCCAAAUUAUUCCCAUAACAAUUUGAUUUAUUUGGUUAUUUCCUUAACUGAAAUUCAUAUAGUUGUAGUUGAUAAAUCAUCCCUUAUGCUCAACAUAAUACAUAAGGGGUAAAAGUAUUUAUAAGUUUGCCAGAUAUUAUUUGAAAUACAUCAAGGUUAUGUUUUGAAAACAUUUUUAUAGUUUGCUUGUAUUCCCCCCCUGAAAACAUUGAAAAACCAUUUAAAAAGGGUAGGGGUAUGAACUCACCGGACGAGAAACACGACGAUUUUGGAUGCUAAACGUUGGUUCGGGGCUUGCAAAUGUACGAGGUUCCUAUGUAUAAUGAAAAGAUACACAUUUGUAUCUAAUUAGGACUUAGAUUAUUUAACUAUUAGGGACAAACACUUUUAGUUGCGGAAACACCCCAUUGCAAAUGUUUGGAGGGACCCGGGUAGCAUUUAAGGACUUGUAUGACCGGGAAAUGGAGUUUACUCUUCAAGAGUAAACUCAUACAAGAGUUUUCGGCCCAUAACACCCAUUCCCAUGAGUUUACGGUCGUAAACUGAUGGUGGGGUGGUUUAUGGUGCAAAAUGGCUUGAAACAAUUAAGAGGGAAUUUCUAGGGUUUGAUUUAAGGCUUGGAAAUGUAUUUUGAACAAAGUAAGGACCAUUUGAGGAGUUCACGGCUGUAAACUCUAUGUUUACGGCCGUAAACUCUUAUAUACAUACUCAAAGUGUUUCUUGGUAGCCUUAAAUUAUUCACAUGUGAUUCUAAUGAUUUUUCCAAGCCUUGAAUGGAUUUUUGAGGGACUUUGGACAAGGUUUUUGGAGUUUAUGGCCCAUGAACCCCCCUCAUGGCCAUGAACUCCCUUGAUGUGUGAUUUAUUAUGAUUUAAGGUCCAAUACUUAUUUGUAGACACUUCUAGAAUUUAUACCAAGGCUUUAGGUGUGCUAAAGUGGCAUUUUAACACUUUUAGAGGAGUUUACUCCCCAUGUUUGAAGGCUUUAAGGCCCAAGCAUAUGCCUUGGCUGUAAACUCUCAUUUUUUUCCUCAAAAUUUAUGUUUAGGAUGCUCUAAGGCCAAAACCAAUAUUCUAGAAGUCAUAUCUAAGUCUUGUUGGUGUCUUGGAAGGCUUUAAGGGCAUAAAAACCCCAUCUAUAUGAGUUUAUGGCUCAAGCAUGCUCUUGGGCAGUAAACUCAUGUUUACUCUUCAAAAUCCAUGUUUAAGGCAUUCUAAGUCCAGUCCAUAAAUCCAUUAAGCCAUAUCUAAGCUCCAAAGGUCGAUUGGAAGGGUUUUUGGGCUCCAAAACCCAUUUUAUGUGAGUUCACAUCCUAGGACUAUUAUAGGGCCGUAAACUCAUAAAUAUGGUCCUAUUCCAUGAUUUGAACUCGAAUUUGAAGGCCUAAGAUGUUAUACUAGGAGUUACGGUAGUUACCUUGGUGAUUUGGAGCUUAAAUUUGAUGAUUUUGGACCCUUAAACUUGGUUUAGGAGAGAGGUUAGAGAAAGAGUAGAGAGAUGAAGCAAAAGCUUCAAAUGAAAGCUUAAAAAUGUUUAAAUAGGUCUCAAAUCUUGGACACGGUGGAAUUCUACCCGAUACCGACAUUAAACGGGUUUUUCGUCACACCCGAUUAAAUUUCCAUAACCUGGUGGGGACGUUUCUAAAAUUUCUGAAAUAAAUAUUUUUGGGCUAAUUUCGUGAGUUGCUAAAGGGUUUGGACACUCAUUAGCUUAUAAUAAACAUAUAAGUUUAAAUAAUUUAACCCAAAACGAAAAUGGAACGAAUUGAUAAACAUCAAUUUUUCGGGUAGAACGGUUUUUGGCGUUGGACAACUUCGGGUUGUUACAUCAUCCCCCCGUUAGAGGGAAUUUCAUCCCGAAAUUCAGAUAUUAAGAUACAGGUCAUGAAUUGGAAGGAGAUACGGAUGGAUUUGUUGCCUCGGAUCUUCACGCUCCCAAGUGGAAUCGGGUCUCCGCUUGGUGUUCCAGCGAACCCACACUAUCGGGACGCGUCCUUGUUUCGUACAUCGACUCUCUCAAUCCAUAAUCUUAAUUGGUUCUCCCAUGGAGGUUCCGACCCUUGAUGACUUCGGUCUUCUCAGAGGAAUCACUAGGGUUUCGUUGGGUAGAUGCUUCUAAGGAUUCGAGACGUGAAGUACCGGAUGGAUGUUACUAUGUUCUGAGGGUAGCCGAAGUUGGAAGGUUACGAAAUCGAUUCUAUGAGGAUCACGAAGGGUCUAAUAGUCGAUGGGACCCAUGAAUCGAUAGGUUUCUAUGGGUAUUUCUUGUGCCGACUAAUUCCCUAUCGCCUUAGCUUUUGGAAAGGUUCACGAGUACGACUGCUUUGCUUAGCUACAUGAUCGAGGAAAAUGAUUUGACCGAAGGAUACCACUACUAACUCGUAGUGAUCAUAUCAAUCCUUGGUCACCGUCUUCGACACGUCAUUCCUACUGAGGUUCGGUUACGAGGUAGUUCCUGAGAUUAGGCAGGUGCGAGACUAGGCUAGACGUUCGGAAAGGAAUUCUCAGGAAUCCUUCGGGAAAGACAUUUAGGGAAAAGAGUUGCAGUCUUCCCGUUUCCCAAUGAUCAAAGGAACGAGGGAUGCAUGGCAAUUCCUAUCAAGAAAACUUUUUGAGCUUCGAUGCACGAAAUGAUGCGAGGAUUGGAUUUAGGUUGGGUGCCGAAGAUCGCGAGAGCCGGGUCGGGGGAAAGAUUUAGACGAGCGACGCUUUCGAAACCAAUAAUAACAACAUGAAUGAGACUCGGUCAUUUCAUGUAAAACAUAGCAUCAAAGCAUUUCAUGAAAAGUUUGCCAUUAAAUCGAAUGGAAUAGAAUAAUCACCCAGAUUGAGAAUACAACAUAUAGGUACGCAAUUAGCUUUCUCUAUCCUACCGGUUAGCCAUCUUGACAUUACACAUUUUCGAUUCCAAACGAAGGAUUGAGUUUAGAAAGAUGUUUGAAUGGAUAGAUAACAAGUUUUCCUUUUAGUACUAGAAUCGAAAAGAGUUGCAGGCAUAAGAGUUGUCAAAGAGAAGUAUACCUACGGCGACAGUGGGAUCAGCGGUUGUUUCCUCUCGUCCUAUUGCCAGGACUCUCCUGGUAUUGCCAGUUGUUGCUGCUUUGGGGCAGUUUCUUUUGAAGUGCCCUACUUCGCCACAACUGUAGCAGGCUGGACUGAUUCCCGCUCCGGAUUAUUGGUUUGUCGAUUUGGCUGGUUUUCUGCAGGUUCGAGCAAGGUGGCCAUUCUUGCCACAGUUGUCACAAAUUCGUUCACGACAUGGACCAGGAAUACGGUGAUGGUAGUUGCACUUACCGCACCAAGGAAGGGUACUAGUGUUUCCACUGGUAGGAGUUUGGACCGUGGAUCCGACAACUGAAACAACAACAGGGGUAGCCUCCUCAUCAGAGUUGUCUUCGUGAUCGAUCGGGGUUUAUGCAAGACAUUUAGUGCUGUCAUAGGUGUCUGGCUUCACAGCCAAUACAUUCCCUUUGGUUGGCUGGGUCAACCCCCAGAUGAACCUCUCAAUCUUUUUACUCUCCGGGGUAACCAUUCCUGGACAGAGUAAUGCCAGGUCAUUGAAUCUUGAAGUAUAAGAGGCUAUGUCAGAACCCUUCAUCUUAAGGUUCCAGAGUUCGUGUUCUAGUUUCUGUAUUUCGCCCCGAGGGCAAUACUCAGCGAGAAGAAGCUCCUUCAUAGCUUCCCAACCCAUAGCAUUUGCUACAGGUAGAGUUAAGGAUUUGACUCAGCCCUUCCACCAAGUCAGUGCUUUGUCAAGGAAGGUGCAGGCGGUAAACUUUACUUUGUCAGAUUUCGAACAGGCACAUAUUUCAAAGAUUGAUUCGAUUUUCUCGAACCAUCGAGUUAGGGAAAUGACACCCCCAGUGCCAUCGAAGAAUGUGGGUUUCGCGUUCAUGAAGUAUUUAUAGGAACCCCCUUUUCGGUGUCCCUGGCUAUCUUCUGGGUUUUGGGGCUGGGGACCACCUCCUGAACUACUGGGGUUUAUUUGCGACAUGGCUGCUACCAUUGCGGCAAUCAGAACUGUCUGAAGCGAUGCAAGAUCAAAUUAAGGAGGAGGUGGUGGCGGAGGAGGAUUGUUGUUGUUCUUUGAGCUGGGUCUCUUUCUUGGAGGCAUCUUGAUCUAAAAAGAUCAGGAAAGAGAGGAUCAUAAGUCCUCUGAAUUGAAUGAAGAAAUAUGGACCAGGGGAUAUCUCAUCAAGACAGAUAUAACAUUAUAUCAAGCGAUAAAGCAGGAAAAAGUUAUCAAGGCAGAUAAUUUCAUCGCUAGAGGAACGAUCAAGGAACAACGUGUAUACGAGGAUUUUCUACAAAGGAUUAACUCGAGAAAUACUCCCAUAGUAUUUCAUGAUUCACUGCAAUGACGACUCGUUGUUUGGGGUAUUGGGUAAGUUUUAGGUAUGCUGCAUACCACAGUCACUCCCAAGCACAUGUUGGCUGUGUCUCAAAUGAAUAUAGUUGGCCAGGCUAUAUUGACCUUAGACAUGACUACAUAACUGCCCAGGUUUAACCGCUGCGUACAACACCCAUUUACUUAUGUUUUGUUCUACUGGUGGUUACGAAUCUCGACGUUUCGGUAUAUUUGUAUAUUUUCGAAAAUACUUAUAUUUUGAAGGAUACUUUUAGUUCAGAGCACUUAGGCCCUUUAAUGUUUAUAGUUUUAUACCAUGUAAGGUUUGGUAUACUCCUUUCACUAUAAACAAGGGCUCUGAUACCAAUCUGUCACACCCCAAAAAUCAAAGACGGAAACAUUUCCGGGGUUGACUCGACGUUAAGUAUCAAAUCCAAUGCACAUUCUAAUCAAAGUAAACAACCAUUACAUUACAUAUAUUUGAAAGUUUACAUUUGUUUCAAAAGUAAAGUAUUCCAAGUGUUAUACAUAGGUAUAUAUGAACAAAAG